rnacentral:rRNA from 1 species
GACGAACUGCCCUAACGUUGUUCGGAAUCACUGGGCCUAAAGGGCGCGUAGGCGGCGAAUCAAGUCAGGGGUGAAAUCCGGCAGCUCAACUGUCGAAGUGCCUUUGAUACUGAUUUGCUCGAGGGAGGUAGGGGUCUGUGGAACUUCUGGUGGAGCGGUGAAAUGCGUUGAUAUCAGAAGGAACGCCGGUGGCGAAAGCGACGGACUGGACCUUUUCUGACGCUGAGGCGCGAAAGCUAGGGGAGCAAACGGG